rnacentral:rRNA from 1 species
GAUGAACGCUGGCGGCGUGCCUAAUACAUGCAAGUCGAGCGAACAGAUAAGGAGCUUGCUCCUUUGACGUUAGCGGCGGACGGGUGAGUAACACGUGGAUAACCUACCUAUAAGACUGGGAUAACUUCGGGAAACCGGAGCUAAUACCGGAUAACAUAUUGAACCGCAUGGUUCAAUAGUGAAAGGCGGCUUUGCUGUCACUUAUAGAUGGACCCGCGCCGUAUUAGCUAGUUGGUAAGGUAACGGCUUACCAAGGCAACGAUACGUAGCCGACCUGAGAGGGUGAUCGGCCACACUGGAACUGAGACACGGUCCAGACUCCUACGGGAGGCAGCAGUAGGGAAUCUUCCGCAAUGGGCGAAAGCCUGACGGAGCAACGCCGCGUGAGUGAUGAAGGGCUUCGGCUCGUAAAACUCUGUUAUCAGGGAAGAACAAAUGUGUAAGUAACUGUGCACAUCUUGACGGUACCUGAUCAGAAAGCCACGGCUAACUACGUG